rnacentral:rRNA from 1 species
UACGAAGGGGGCUAGCGUUGCUCGGAAUCACUGGGCGUAAAGGGUGCGUAGGCGGGUCUUUAAGUCAGGGGUGAAAUCCUGGAGCUCAACUCCAGAACUGCCUUUGAUACUGAAGAUCUUGAGUUCGGGAGAGGUGAGUGGAACUGCGAGUGUAGAGGUGAAAUUCGUAGAUAUUCACAGGAACUCCGGUGGCGAAGGCGGCUCGCUGGAUCUUUUCUGACGCUGAGGCGCGAAAGCUAGGGGAGCAAACGGG